UUGCUAGUGUGGCGAGGGGACUCAAAGACUGAAGAUGUGUAUUUUGAUGACAUCAUACACAUCAUCAAGGAAGAAUCAAUAACCAACAACGUGAUAGAUGCUUAUGGUGAAAUUCUACUUGAACUACAAGGGCUAGUCAACCCAAGUUUGGAAGAUUCAUCAUUCAUCUUUACAAGCACAUGUUUGAAAAUCAUGCAAGAGUACCCCCUACAAGAGGAAUAAACUGA